rnacentral:rRNA from 1 species
GACGGAGGGGGCUAGCGUUGUUCGGACUGACUGGGCGUAAAGGGCGCGUAGGCGGUUUUUUAAGUGAGGCGUGAAAGCCCUGGGCUUAACCCAGGAGGUGCGUUUCAUACUGUAAGACUUGAGUACGAGAGAGGAAAGUGGAAUUUCUAGUGUAGAGGUGAAAUUCGUAGAUAUUAGAAAGAACACCAGUGGCGAAGGCGGCUUUCUGGCUCGUAACUGACGCUGAGGCGCGAAAGCGUGGGGAGCAAACAGG